rnacentral:rRNA from 1 species
GACGAACGCUGGCGGCGUGCCUAAUACAUGCAAGUCGAGCGGACCACUUCGGUGGUCAGCGGCGGACGGGUGAGUAACACGUGGGCAACCUGCCUGUAAGACUGGGAUAACACCGGGAAACCGGUGCUAAUACAGGAUAAUCCUUUCCUUCACAUGGGGGAAAGCUGAAAGACGGUUUCGGCUGUCACUUACAGAUGGGCCCGCGGCGCAUUAGAUAGUUGGGGAGGUAAUGGCUCACCAAGGCAAGGAUGCGUAGCCGACCUGAGAGGGGGAUCGGCCACAAUGGGACUUGGAAACGGCCAAGACGCCUGCGGGAGGCAGCGGUAGGGAAUCUUCCGCAAUGGACGAAAGUCUGACGGAGCAACGCCGCGUGAGCGAUGAAGGCCUUCGGGUCGUAAAGCUCUGUUGUCAGGGAAGAACAAGUACCGGAGUAACUGCCGGUACCUUGACGGUACCUGACCAGAAAGCCACGGCUAACUACGUGCCAGCAGCCGCCGUAAUAC